GGUGAGGUGGGUGAGUGGCUGAAACCACCAGUUUGCUAAACUGACGUACGGGUAACCGUACCGGGGGUUCGAAUCCCCCCCUCACCG
rnacentral:tRNA from 2 species